CAUAUCAAUAAGCGGAGGAAAAGAAACCAACAGGGAUUGCCCUAGUAACGGCGAGUGAAGCGGCAACAGCUCAAAUUUGAAAUCUGGCGUCUUUGGCGUCCGAGUUGUAAUUUGCAGAGGGCGCUUUGGCAUUGGCAGCGGUCCAAGUUCCUUGGAACAGGACGUCACAGAGGGUGAGAAUCCCGUACGUGGUCGCUAGCCUUUACCGUGUAAAGCCCCUUCGACGAGUCGAGUUGUUUGGGAAUGCAGCUCUAAAUGGGAGGUAAAUUUCUUCUAAAGCUAAAUACUGGCCAGAGACCGAUAGCGCACAAGUAGAGUGAUCGAAAGAUGAAAAGCACUUUGGAAAGAGAGUUAAAAAGCACGUGAAAUUGUUGAAAGGGAAGCGCUUGCAGCCAGACUUGCCUGUAGUUGCUCAUCUAGGUUUCUACCUAGUGCACUCUUCUAUAGGCAGGCCAGCAUCAGUUUGGGCGGUUGGAUAAAGGUCUCUGUCAUGUACCUCUCUUCGGGGAGAACUUAUAGGGGAGACGACAUGCAACCAGCCUGGACUGAGGUCCGCGCAUCUGCUAGGAUGCUGGCGUAAUGGCUGUAAGCGGCCCGUCUUGAAACACGGACCAAGGAGUCUAACAUCUAUGCGAUGUUGGGU
rnacentral:rRNA from 1 species